rnacentral:lncRNA from 1 species
GAGUGGCAAGUCCUACAUGCUCAACGAGGUUCUGCCUGCUGUGGCCAACACCUACUACAGCAGCGGCGGCAGUGGCCGGCAGCACGCUGGCACGGUGCUUUCAGAGCCCAACUUCCUGCGCGUGAACUGCUUGGGCUGUGAUCGCAGCAGCGGCAUCAGUGGCUUCCUUAAGGAAUUCCUCGCUGUACUCAAGGAGAGUGCCGCCGACCAGCGGCUCUCUGCUGCCGCCAGCACGCCUGCACCCAGCGACAACUCGGUUGUCACCGCAGCAGGUGCCAUUCGGAACUUCAUGUGGCGCCUGCCACGGGACCGCCUGAACUUCCUGCUGAUUGACGAGGCGCAGAGCUUUUACCUGCUUGAGCGGGCCAUGCCGGGCGAAAAGUCGCCCGGCAAAAGUCCGCGGCGAAAAGUCGCUGCACGCGGCUCAACACUGGACGUGGAUGCAGUGCAGCACAUGCGGCGGUAAAUCAGCGCAAGGUUUCCCUAACCGUGUCGUGUGAUCACAUGGGCGAGGAUGAGGGGCAAUGGCCAGUGAAACGCGCCCAGGCGGAGAUUUACACGAGGGGGCAGAAGGCACUAAGGGGAGAUCGCUGCGAGAUUCAAUUGUAUAACAUAAGCAUAUUGCACAAGGGGCAAAGGUCUGCACUCAUGCCUACAGCAGGCGUACGACACAAAGGAGCUGACACAUGCACCAUUUUCCUUCCCUCAACUGUCGUGUGUACUGCAGCAUCUUCAAGGAACUCCUGCUGGACAGCCCCCACUGGGUCGCCUGGGCCGUCACGGGCAGUUCCAUGGCGACGCUAUGGGCCAACGUUGCAGUCACCCCGGUGAGCAAUUGGUGUUGCAGCGGGGGGGGGUAGGCUCUUCUGGGGGGGUGCAUAUGCUUUAUGGGAUGGGCAUGGAGACAGGCAUUAUAGUGGGCAUGGUGCAGGUGGGCGUGAAGGUGCGCGCGGGUGCGAUAGAGCUCCUAGAGAGAAGACGCACGCGCUGACCCUCUCCUUGUCCCUUCGGGNNNNNNNNNNNNNNNNNNNNNNNNNNNNNNNNNNNNNNNNNNNNNNNNNNCAGCAGCAGCAGCAGCCGACUGGGGCGGCGGCGGCAGCGGCGGCGGGGGCUGCGAACACCCGUGGUGGCAAUGACUGCGCGCAUCAUCUCAACAAUCCUUCCAACACAGACAAGCUCAGUCUCCGAUAAUAGCUGCUAUUCUAGGAUUGCCUGUAGUGCAGGUGCGUCUAUCUGCCUGAUCUGUCUGUCUGUCUGUCUGUCUGUCUGUCUGUCUGUCUUUGUAUAUAUCCGCUGAUAGGUCGUUCUGCUGAGGGUGUUGCCCCCUGUUUUCUGUUGUUCAAGUAAACUGAAUCCCGGGGCUGAGGCGGGUUUGGGUCAGUGUUGUUCUUGGUGUUGGGACUUAGGGUUUUAUAAAAUGACAGCGGAAACCGCCAACUGUCAACUGCUAGUUGGAUGUUGUUGGGUUCCAGGCAAGGGGAUUGUGGGAGAGGGGGAAAGGCGAGAGAGGGUCCCUGGGGGGCUCCCUCCUUGAAGAAUUCGUUUGUGUGUGGGGGGGGGUGUAUGUGUGCGCGUGUGUAUGUGUGCGUGUGUGUGUGUGCGUCCUGUAGGGAUCUUGCUGGCUUGAUAAAUAUUGAGUAAAUGCCUCCUCGCCAAGGGAGGAGGAUGUUAUACACAUGUGAACAACGAACAGCAACGCACGAGGUCCUUGAGCAGCUACGUGAAAUUGUUUUUCUGUCUUUUAGCUGUCUUUUUCCCUUUCUCAAGCCGGUCUGCAGUAUUUCGGUGUUGGUGGUUGCUUGAGCAUGUCCCCCUAAAGGUGGCAUCUGUUGUCGCUUUUCCUGCGCCGUGUCGCCGACGGAUAGGCCGACGGAUACGCCGACACCACCCAUGCUGUGUGCUAUGUGCUAUCGAACCUGGACUUUGAUGCGACGUCUAAAAUGAGGCCUGGAAGGAGGGCUUUCAGUUUUAAGGCUUUGAUUUGACUGGGGGGUUUUAAGCAUCGAUGUGGUUGUUAAGCGCGAAAACGCACAGCUGAGUAGAACAAAAGAGUUAAAGUUUGGGGGAUGUCUUUUAGUGGCUUUUAGUGGCUGCGAGUCGCGCAAGGUUGAGGGGGGCUGCGUGCGAGAAUGAGGGGCGGCUGGGUCGUGAGAUUGAUGGGCAGAUGAGGCUGGUGGGGGAGCUAGAAACGAGACAGGGCGUGCAACGGUAUGGUUGGUGGUGGGGUGGGGAAGAAGGGAAUGGCUGGCUGGCUGUGUGCACUCGUUAACCCUCCUCAACCCAUAUUAACGUGAUUGCGUGGUUAACGGCAUGUUGGUCGGUUUUUCUGGAUUCAAGUUCGUUCCUAUUUCGCAACGAAAGGCCAUGGUUGUUUUGCUGCAUGCUGAUGCAUAACAGACGCAUGAUAAGCAUCUGCCCUUUUCGACUGGAAUAUCGUGGGAAUUCGUUGGUUUGGAUGAUCAUGUAUGCGGCCACAAAGAUUGUGCCCGAUCGCUCGGCUUGUUGGGGUGCCGUACGCUGGAUGCAGGAGACACAUACGACAGCUGGUAUUACGGCAUGGGCGCUUGGGCUUGGGUUGCUAUACGUGCUGACAAUUAGUUUGAUGCUCGCCCCAGGGCUGGCUGGACAGUAAGCGCUAGAAAAACAGCGUGCUUAACACGACUCCGCAUUAAACCCGUAAGCAUGAGUCCUCGAGUUGUAGUCCAACUGGAACCUUUGACGUGAGGCGAUAACUGCUGAUUGAGGUACCAUCUGCAUUGACGUUUUGUAACGUGAGAUCCCAGCGCAGACGCGGUGAUAUAUGCAGGGUACAGAUGACGGUCAUCUGCAUUCGUCUCUCCCACUCUAAGGAACAGCCGUACGUGAACAGCUAGGAGAAGGAAGCUAGGAGAAGGAAGGGGGUGGCGCCGCCACCGCCACCACGGCCCGCGGCAGCACGGAUUCCGAGACGACGGGAACGGCGGAACACGCGGGUGAUGAGCAGGGCAGCAGUGGCGGCGGCGGGUCGAAUGAGCUGGUUGGUCGAAUGAGCUGACAGGCAAUGGCAUUACCGAGGCGAUGAAGUCGGGCGUCGGUCGGCUUAAGGUGAGCUGGGGCUGUGGCGGGGCCCCCCGUGUGGCGGUCGUGAUGGCGGCUAGCUAGCUCGGUUGCCGCGUGUGUUGUGGUUUACCUGUGUAAAUAUGUAUGUAUGCAUGUAUGUAUGUACCACUUCCACGUGCAAGGAACGUGAGUGCGACAGGGGGCCCCCUGUGGGCGCCGGGAGGCGGGAAGAGGGGGAAUGUGGUUGUGAGGUUGGUGCAGAAAACCGCAUACACAUCUACACGUGACACUCGAUACUCGGCAUGUCCCGAAAACUGCUCUCCACCCGCCACAUAACUCCACCAGGACUAAUACCCGCCGGCAGCACCUUUGCACCCGCCAUCCCUCCUCCCUCUCCCUGCUCUUAUGACGCCGGGCACACGCCAAGAGAAGACGUUCAGCUUAACUCCAGUCUAUGUUGGAUUAUGCCCCCACCCUUGGGAGGAAGAUGUGUAUGUCGGCGCUAAGGCGGCAAUAAUGCCUAACGGUGUUUGUGUGUGCGAUUUCCCCUUGACCCGUCUAUAAUACGUUCGUGGGACCGCCCGCAGUCACUUCAGGCGGCUCCACGCCGGGUGGUUUGGGCGGGGGGGGGGAAACUAGAGUUAGGCGGUAGGGAUGAGAAGGAGAGGAGAAUGCGCGCAGGGCGCGGGUGGCUGGGGCGGUGAAGCGGGCGGCACAGGAAGGGGAACAGUGGUACAUACUCUAGCUGCUGCCCUCGUUGCUGACGUGCGCCCAGCUACUUUGGCUGUGUACGGUGGACGAGCGCUUAGGCUUCAGUUAUUGGCAGAGUACAGGGGGAUUCUACGGUGGCCUUUGGAGGGGGAGUUAAAGGUAGCAGUGACUGGACGAUAAGAUACUUCAGAAGCGAGCAGUUUCUACCAGAUGGGAGGGAAAUCCUCGUCACGGCUCUAGCGCAGGAUGCUAUGACUAUGUGACGAUGGUGAAUUACAAUGAUGCUUUGUGCAGUGCUUUUUGACGACGCGUGUGCUGGUCAAAGAUAUUUCGCUUGUCCGGUGGAAAUUGGAGCUAAAAGCCAAUUGUGGCAAGCCCACGGGGGACAGGAGAGGGGCGGCGUUGUAUGUGUCGUUUAAUGUCGUCUUGCUGUUUGUUGACUGUUUAUCUUCGUGUGAUGGUCGCCCCGUUAUCAUUGCGUUUGGUGUGCGCGGUGAUUCAUGCGGGUGACCUGCAAAGAACUUUCAUUUACGAUUAUGCAUUUUUGUCUCGCGAAUCUGGGAUUCCGAAACAAAUGCAGCGAAAGCGUUGAACACGAUUUCCUGCUAUAUCUCGCAGCGGCGAGGCUGUAACGACGCAAGGCCCAACUGAGCAUCCCGGGUUACGCCUUUGCUUUGUUACAAUGGUAUCGAGACGGAGCCGCACGACUUCCGAUGAAAUCUUCGGGUCGGUGGUUCGAUUCUGACAACAAGCAGGUAUCGCAGAAAGCGAUAUCAUGGGUAAUGGAUAAACCAGCGCACAAUGCGUGAGGUGGGAUGGCUCCAAUGCUCGAUAUAAUGGCCGCGGACGUCCAUUGCUAAAGGGGGGGCAAUGUAACGACGCAAGGCCCAACUGAGCAUCCCGGGUUACGCCUUUGCUUUGUUACAGAGGCUGCCUUUUCGGAUUUGCUGUACGACGCGGGUACAGGCGUGAUGGUGACUCAUUUCGCAUACACACAGGCUUACAACCCAUCUUUGACCUAUAGACCUUGUCAUCUAUCCUGUAUCAAAACAUUUAUGUCUCACUGUCAAUAGCGAAGACUUUUUCCUUUGGACUUGACUAUCCUUUGUGAGCGCCGUGCAAGUGAGCAAGGGUUUGUCCAUACCAGCUCGCCUCAGGCUUUUUUUCCAGCAUACAACCGCGGCACGGGAAAGGCGCGGGCACAGUUUCUCUUUUCAAAGUCCUUUCCCUUGGCCUUUUACUGCCGGGGAACAACCUAAGGAAGCGAGCGAUCAGGAAAGAUGAGGCGCGCGCUCGGUCAAGCCUUUAAAGUUGCGGCAGGCGCCCGUGAUUCGCAGGUGCGCGGUCCAUAUUCCGAAACAGGAAUCUUUCCGUCGUAGCUGCUCAGCAAAGGCCUUGCGCAGCAGCUCCCUGGCCCUCGGUCCGCCGUCACGGCCACGAGUCCUCACUUGGCAGGGAGCUUGACUUUGACCAUGCAAUGUAAACCAUUGAGAAGUGGGGAAAGAGGUCGUGGUCCCGAUGAAAAUUGCCGGUUCUACGUAUCCAUUUGUCCACAGAGUUUCCCGUAUCUUUUGCACUCGUAAUCCGCGUGUAUAUGUGCUUCUGUGUUUGUUACAUGUUUACGAGUCCGAUUCACCCUUCCCGCCUCCUGCAGGCGCUACUACCCAGCUUUCGAGCCCCGGGCCCAACAGCCACCCCGCUGGGCUUGUCCCCGACCGAGGCCUGGCGGCGGCCGGCCACCACCACUACUGCCACUGCCGGUGACGACAGCGACGGCCGCCACCACCACCCCGCCGUCGGCGACCUCCCUCGUACCCGCAGUGUACAUCAGGAGCAGCUGGCGGAGGGAAGCGACUUCGAAUCCACCGCCGCCACCGGACGGGCGGCCGUGUGGCCCGCGAGAUCUCCCGACGCGCCGCCCGAUCCCGCCACACGACGCAGCGGGCGGGAGACGAUGCCGGAUGAGCGGGCGGAGGAGGAGGAGGCGUGGAUGACCAUCCGUCAUGGCUCCGGAAAAUCGGCGGAGGCCAUUUUGGCAGGGUGGGUGUGCAGUAUAAGGGGUUGCGGGUGAGGGAGGGGAUGGGGGGGAGUGCAGGGUGAGGUGUAAGCCCGCGCCGGCUGUCCCUUUCCUCCCCGCUCCUCCGUAUCACCCCUCCCCAGGUGUUGUGAUGGUGGGUUUAGGCGGAGUUGGGCCCUACAGUACAAAAAGCACCAGUCAGGCUCCCACUCUCAGCCUCGUCAGGUCUCACAUUCCUGGACAGCAACCAACCCUCAGGCCGCAGGCCACCACAAAUGGAGAGCGGGGGAGGGGGGACUUCACCAGAACGCUCAUUUACAGCACUAGCGCCAACAUGUCCAUGAAGGGCUUGUCCCUCGGCAGGCGGGCAACAUGCAUAGUGAUAACACUCGGCAGUUACACGUUCCAGCCUGUUGGGCCUGCGAUUGUGCAGCCCUGUGUGACAGCACACUCUUUCUCUACCAUAAAGGGGCGGUUCAGUGUUCUGCAUGACAUACACCCUCUUGCUGCCUGAGGGGUGUGACUUCUGGCUUGAUUCAGCUUGAAGUUGCUUCGUCACUUUGCUGCUCUGCACCCCUUCGUUGUGAUCCUGCAUGCAUUGCAACUGUGUGACAGCGGCUGGUUGUUUAAUGUGUAUGCGCCUUGUGGGCAUGAUGGGCUAUCCUUGUGCAGGCCUGCCAGCUUGUAAGCUGCAGCUCCGACAAGACUUGCAGAACGAGGACUUGUUCUUCUUUGAGCCCAUGGACGUCGUCAGCGCUGCAGCUGCCACAAGUGCUGGCGUGAGCAGCAUGUUCUUCCUGGACCCCAAGGGCAGGCAGAUAGCUGAGCUGAAGAAGUGGCUGGACCUUGCCGAGGAUGAGUACUGUAUGGGGAGACCCAUCCGGCCGUUGUUCAUCAACGGUCUGGUCAAGGUGGGAUAUAACGGCCUGACCAAGGACGGAGAGCUCCUUGUGCAGCUUGUGUCCAACCCACAUGGAACAGGGUUUGGAGUGAGAAGAUUAGGCGUGGUAGAUGGGUGAUGCAUGCAGCUUUGUGCACUGUUGAGUAAUACACAGCUGAGCGACCAAGGGGAAUGCACGCUUACCUAGCCAUCUUGCGCCCCAUAUUGUGCCCGUUGUGCAGAGUGGCAAGUCCUACAUGCUCAACGAGGUUCUGCCUGCUGUGGCCAACACCUACUACAGCAGCGGCGGCAGUGGCCGGCAGCACGCUGGCACGGUGCUUUCAGAGCCCAACUUCCUGCGCGUGAACUGCUUGGGCUGUGAUCGCAGCAGCGGCAUCAGUGGCUUCCUUAAGGAAUUCCUCGCUGUACUCAAGGAGAGUGCCGCCGACCAGCGGCUCUCUGCUGCCGCCAGCACGCCUGCACCCAGCGACAACUCGGUUGUCACCGCAGCAGGUGCCAUUCGGAACUUCAUGUGGCGCCUGCCACGGGACCGCCUGAACUUCCUGCUGAUUGACGAGGCGCAGAGCUUUUACCUGCUUGAGCGGGCCAUGCCGGGCGAAAAGUCGCCCGGCAAAAGUCCGCGGCGAAAAGUCGCUGCACGCGGCUCAACACUGGACGUGGAUGCAGUGCAGCACAUGCGGCGGUAAAUCAGCGCAAGGUUUCCCUAACCGUGUCGUGUGAUCACAUGGGCGAGGAUGAGGGGCAAUGGCCAGUGAAACGCGCCC